UAAACAGUCUCUGUGGCUUACUGAAAAUUGCUGAUGAGAAUUGAUGUAUCCGUGCGCUCGGAACUUUGUAUCCCCGUUCUAGGAAAAGUUUCGAAUAUGGAUACCCCAUAAUAUAUCAGGAGUUCCGAAAUCACCCGUAUAGGUUAUUUGGUAGCACCCCCCUCCCCUCAACCUUUAGUAUACACUGCUGGAGCUGUAACUUCAUUAGAAUAUAAAGUUUUCAUGAAGAGGAGGACACGCGUGGUUGAAGACAUUAGAACGAGCUAGCAUUCUCUGCUUAACAUUUGUGAGGCAAAUUUCCGUGCACGUAGAAUCGUGUUGGCUUAAGAUUUUGAAGAUCGUAAGCUGGACGAAAAAGUACGCAUUGCGGACCAUGCUUUCAAUGGUUUAUACAGCAGGCUCGGGUUGUUCGAAAGGUAGAUAACGCUAUCCACCGUAUAAAUCACGUGGUUUGUUUUGUUAACACUUAUGCACUGGAUAGCGAUUUAUCCGGUUGAUAGCUGGGGACAGGUCUUUACCGACUUGCCGUUUGCCUCUGUUUCAGACCGAGUCCUCGUACACAGCGUUUUACAGAAUAGCUUCGCACGAAGACUCGGUUUGGCACCAAGGCAGACGUAAACUCGGACAUGGCUUAUUUCUUUUCCGUCAUUUCUUUCUUCAAGACCUUGAAGACGCCUUCGCCAAAAGAAAAUGGGGAACUGAUAACGCACGCCUCUAUUUUGGGGAUGAUUAUAAUAACAAACGUAUCGGCAGCUGGUUUGCAGUGGAUAAAAGUCCACAGUGGCUGAGGAUCGACUUGGCACAGAGUAAGACCAGCAGUGGAAUCGCUACAGAAGGGCGGGAUGUAUUCGUUGAGCACAUCAAAAAGUAGAGCUUGCCUUCAGCACUGAUGGAACGAACUUUAAGAACUACGAGGAGAACGGAAAAUCGAAGGUGUUUGACGGUAGUUGCGACAACUUCACACCGGUUCUAAACAGGUUUAAUCCUGUUAAAACACGUUAUGUCGAGGUUCUUCCUCAUGACAGUCCGUCAACCUGGGUCUGCAUGAAAGUUGAACUGUACGGCUGUUAUGCUUAAGGUAAUUUUAAGUCGCUAGAUUUGUAAUCUAAUCAUAGCUCAUCAGUCAGUACUAGUCAGUAGUUAUAAGUUAAGCACACAUGGAAGCAGGAAUGGAAGUUAAGUACAAUCAAUGAAACCACCACAACCACCAACAACAUCAUCAACAGCAAAGGUUCGUGCUCUCCCAAAGUUUCACAAAUAUGUCCUUUGCCGAGGUUUCCUGAACAAAUUCCCGGAUAAUUCCCGGCCAAAUCUUGAAUUUUGUCGCUAUUCUAUAAUUUUUCAGAGUUAACAAGAAAAACCCCGGCUCCGUUAAAGCAACUGAUGAAAGAAUGGGUCUUGUAAAAUGA